rnacentral:rRNA from 1 species
ACGCUCGACACCUACGGGGGGCAGCAGUGGGGGAUAUUGCACAAUGGGGGGAACCCGUGAUGCAGCGACGCCGCGUGAGGGAAGAAGGUUUUCGGAUUGUAAACCUCUGUCCUCAGGGAAGAAGAUGACGGUACCUGAGGAGGAAGCCACGGCUAACUACGUGCCAGCAGCUGCGGUAAUCUGAGCGGGCUGGCAAGGC